rnacentral:misc_RNA from 1 species
UUAUUAUAUGGUGCCAUGCAUGAUGAUAAAUUGCUAGAGUUGGUUGUCGUUAAUAUACCAUUGCCAUCAUCUUUUGUUGAAAAGCACUUUUUGAAUGAAAGUAUCGGAAGUCAUUCAUUUUCUCACGGUGAAUACAUCAGCCAUGACGGCGGUGACAAUCGCAAGAGAAGGAAGAGCGCCCCGAGUGGUCCGGUCCAGAUGACUCCUGACCCAACUCAGACAUCCAAAUUAUCGGGUAUCCCGAAUCGUAUGAAAAAGGCUCUGAAGCGGACAAAGAGCGUUGGUAAAAUAGAAAGAGAACGUCAGCAACCUUUCAAACCCACAAAGGAAGAUAUAGAGGAAUGUGAAAGCCCCACCAUGUUCGGGUCCCACGUCAAAUCCUCACGGUCACAUGAGUCCCUCAACUUGGGUCCGCAGUCAUCGUUAGAUGUCAUUGACCUCGCUGGCAAUGAUCUGGUGGUCCGUCCUCUCCAUUCCAGCAUCCUUGGACAAGACCAUUGUUUUCAGAUUAAGACCUCACUAGGAAGCAAGUACUACUCCUGCCGCUCAUCGAGCGAGAGAGACAAAUGGAUAGAAAGUAUACUCAGCGCACAUUAUCCAGACAAAGAUGAGAGAAGGAGAACAGAUUCAUCUCUCAACAUAUGGGUGGUGGAGGCAAAGAACAUCCCUCAAAAGAAAAAUUGGGAUGGACGAGAGUACUUCUGUGAGAUCUGUUUAGAUGACAGUCUCUAUGCCAGGACCACACCCAAACACCGUAAUGAUAUGGUCUUCUGGGGUGAACAGUUCACAUUCAAAUGCUUGCCAGCUGUUGAGGCCAUCAAUGUUCAUGUAUAUAAAGAGAUAGAGAAGAAAAAGAGAAGAGAUAAGAAUUAUAUAGGGUUAGUCUCGAUACCAGUCAACAUGGUUAAUAGUAAAACAACGGUAGAAAGUUGGUACCGUGUUUCCAGCCCUAUUAACUUCAGGGGAGAGAUCCCAGCAUUACGGAUAAAAGCUCGCUACCAAAACAUCUCAAUUCUACCUAUAAGCCAGUACUCAGAAUUUGCACAGUACUUGAAAGAACACUCAGUGACGCUAUGUCAGAGACUAGAACAGGAAAUCAGUGUCAAGACGAAGGAAGAGGUCGCGACCUCUCUCAUGAAGAUCCUUCAUUGCUUAGGAUCAGCCAAAGAAUUCCUGGUUGAGAUGGUCAUGAAAGAAACAGAAAGCAUCAAAGAUGAAAGUCUGGUCUUUCGGGCAAAUACCAUGGCAACAAAGUCUAUGGAGGCGUACAUGAAACUCAUCGGAGGAAAGUACCUACAAGACACCCUUGGUGACUUCAUCCAGUACCUAUACAUGACCAAUGAAGACUGUGAGGUGGACCCUACCAAGAUGAUGACUGGUACAGUAGUACAGCAUCAAGAAUCCCUGAUGGUCAUGUGUGAGAUGGCUUGUUGUAAGAUACUCAACUCCUCAGCAGCCUUCCCGUCUGAUCUCAGGGCAAUCUUCAAUCAACUUAGAGAACGCUUUGCAGAACGCAUCAAUGGGGAUGAAGUCUGCUCAAAGCUCAUUAGUGGUUGUAUAUUCCUACGGUUUCUCUGUCCGGCCAUCAUGUCACCAAGUCUCUUUGAGCUGAUCCAAGAGUAUCCAAACGAGAAGACGUCAAGAUGUCUGACUCUCAUUGCAAAGACAGUUCAAGCUCUUGCCAACUUCACUAAGUUUGGAACAAAGGAGAACUACAUGAAAUUCAUGAAUGAGUUCCUUGAAAGAGAGUGGGGUAACAUGAAGGUCUUUCUACAGGAGAUAUCGAGUGCCACUGAUAAGAGCCAUGCAGUGAAGUUCAGCGGUUACAUUGACCUAGGAAGAGAGCUUGCUCUAACACAUUCAUUACUGAGUGAAGCAGUAGACAAGUUUGACAAGUCAAGCAAGGAAAAGGUUAGUCCUUUACCCGGCAUCUUGACCAAGAUUUCUGAUCAAGUCAGCGAACCUGAUAAGUUUAUCCCCUACCAGUCAACUCAUGUGGAGAUUGAUAACACGGUAACCAGUGCGACAUCAGUGACCACUACCACCACCACGACAUCAUCUUCAUCAUCCUCGACAGCGACGUCACAGGCCAAGAAGAAUCUUAGUAAGAUCUUUGAAGAUGCUGAACCAUCGACAGCAGGCGACGUCGAGAUGCUGCCUCCGUAUGAGGUUGCUAUGGAUAAGACGAUUACAAAGUCAUCAACCAUUAAUAGCCUAGUAGACUUCAUCCAGCAAGAUAGUGACUCUACAACAUCAAUCUCUAAGCUGAACAGUAGAGCUAUGAAUGCAAAGAAUGGCAGACAUGCAAAGAUGGUGAAACAGUCAGAGUUUGAAGUGAACAGAGAGGAUUAUGAUAUUGGUGAAGAUCAAUCACUAAUUGGCUCUCAGAUGGAACCUUUACAGAUUGUUGAAGAGGAAAGGACUCGAAUAGAAACAAAGGAAAAGAGCCAUGUCUAUACAGUGUGUAUAGAAACAGUAUGUAGUAAUACCAAUGUCGAUACGACCCUCAGUACUAGUGACUCAAGCAAACCAAAGAAAGAUGACAAUGGGCAGAAGCCUCGCACGCUGCCAUUGUCGUUUUCUAACCCUGCCUUUCAGUUGUCAUCGAGGGCACUAAAGCAGAAAGAUGCCGGGACAGACAGCAUGAGUUCUGUCAACAGUACACCAAGCAACGGAGCAGAUUCAGACUUUGGGGAUGUAUCGCACAGCUCUUCUAGCAGCGGUGCUUCCCCACCCCGUUUAAGACGCACAGAGUUCUCAAAGGGGAAGAGUUUUCAUGCUGAUACGUCACGUAGUAAGCACGCAGCGUAUGUAAACAUAGAACCACACACACUCCCUAAAGUACAUGUAUCAUCCCGACCACCUGCAGACAUGGUUGGGGAUAUCUAUAAGCCAACAGAAAGUCGCUUGCCAGUCGAGAGUUAUAGCAGUAGCAGCUCAAUCCAUACAAAAAUGACUCUGCCUAUUGGUAGCAUUUGUACUGACAUGGACAGUACACAGCCGCAGUCACCAACUGAAGCUGUGAAAGCAUUAAAUGAUGCUCAUAGAAAAGACUUCUUUAGGAAUCUCAUUACACCAACGGAUGAGACUUCUGUAUUGUUGGAUCCAAACAGCAAUAAUCAAUCAACGCAGUGUUCGGAGGCAACUUUCCGAUUGAGCAGCAGCAAGAAGCACGAUUUACCACAGUUCUCUAUAAAUAUGCCAAAUCCUAAGACUGCUCUAUCUCAGGAUUAUAAUAAUGCUACUUUCCCUUCGAGUAAUGUCAGACCCCAUGUUGUACAGAACCAAGAGAAAGCAUUCUCUGAGGUCUUGCUACCCUCUGUAUCACGUCCUAGACAAGAUAAUACAGCACACAUACGCAUAACACCAUCACAAAUACCCUCUAAGGAAGCAACCAUUACUCCUGUUACAGUAGGGGCUUUCCCAGUACUAGAUAUGCCCCAACAGACUCACAACCGGACUGCUAAUAACAGCACAGGACUGGCCCAACAGCAAAGUCCUCCAACAAGGCGGAAUAUCAUCACCCAGUUAGGAACCAAACAAAAACCGACUAACGAAGCACCCACAUGCCCCAUCCCGAUAGAGUUCUGUCCUGUUACAGAGCCAACGGUGCUCCAGACUAGGCCUAGCAGAGUAGGAUCAGUCCAGCAUCGGAUACAGCCUGUGCCUUCAGGAGCGUCUGUUAGCCAGGAUCCAAUCUGGACCAGACGAAGUGAGGAUUCCCCAUCUCAUGGAGACAUCCCAACAGCAGAGGAAAAACAAGAGUACGACAAUAAAAUUUCUAGUCUGAAGCUAGAACUGGAGCGGAUGGCAUCCCAGCUGGCUGAGACCAAGAAACAACUGGAAGAAGAGGAUAUCAAGGCAGAGGCUGCCCUCACAGAGAUGAGGUUAAAGGUUGAAGCUACAGAGACAGAGCUUAAAGUACAGCAGCAGGAGAAAGACCAGCAGAUCAGGGAUGUCAUAAGCAGCUAAUGGUCAACCUAUAAUAGCCUCCUAUCCCUAGUGUUGGGUUGAAUUCCGAUCCUCCGUAUGUCAAGUUGUUGAUGAUGAAAAGACAGAGGGGGAAUUAUGGCUGAUGUGCGUGGAAGAAGAAUUGCGGGCGGAGCAAGAAGAGAUGAGGGGUGCAGUCAAAGCCAAA